rnacentral:rRNA from 1 species
AGUGAACGCUGGCGGUAGGCCUAACACAUGCAAGUCGAACGGCAGCACAGUAAGAGCUUGCUCUUACGGGUGGCGAGUGGCGGACGGGUGAGGAAUACAUCGGAAUCUACUUUUUCGUGGGGGAUAACGUAGGGAAACUUACGCUAAUACCGCAUACGACCUACGGGUGAAAGCAGGGGAUCUUCGGACCUUGCGCGAGUGAAUGAGCCGAUGUCGGUUUAGCUAGUUGGCGGGGUACAGGCCCACCAAGCCGACGCUCCGUAGCUGGUCUGAGAGGAUGAUCAGCCAAAUUGAAACGGGGAAACGGUCAAGACUCCUAGGGGAGGCAGCAGUGGGAAAUAUUGGACAAUGGGCGCAAGCCUGAUCCAGCCAUACCGCGUGGGUGAAGAAGGCCUUCGGGUUGUAAAGCCCUUUUGUUGGGAAAGAAAAGCAGCAGGUUAAUACCCCGCUGUUCUGACGGUACCCAAAGAAUAAGCACCGGCUAACUUCGU